GACGAGGGGUCCUAGCGUUGUUCGGAAUCACUGGGCGUAAAGCGUUUGUAGGCGGCUCUAUAAGUCGGGUGUGAAAUCCCACGGCUCAACCGUGGAAGUGCAUUCGAAACUGCAGAGCUUGAAUAUGGUAGAGGAGAGUAGAAUUCCUGGUGUAGUGGUGAAAUACGUAGAUAUCAGGAGGAAUACCGGUGGCGAAGGCGACUCUCUGGACCAAUAUUGACGCUGAGAAACGGAAGUGCGGGGAUCAAACAGG
rnacentral:rRNA from 1 species